rnacentral:rRNA from 1 species
AGAGUUUGAUCAUGGCUCAGGAUGAACGCUAGCGGCAGGCCUAAUACAUGCAAGUCGAACGGUAAGUUGAAUAGCAAUAUUUGACCUAGAGUGACGUACGGGUGCGUAACACGUAUGCAACCUACCCUUUACAGGAGGAUAGCUCGGGGAAACUCGAAUUAACCCUCCAUAACAUAGUGAUGUGGCAUCAUAUUACUAUUAAAACUCAGGUGGUAAAGGAUGGGCAUGCGUCUGAUUAGUUAGUUGGCGGGGUAACGGCCCACCAAGACGAUGAUCAGUAGGGGAACUGAGAGGUUGAUCCCCCACACUGGCACUGAGAUACGGGCCAGACUCCUACGGGAGGCAGCAGUAGGGAAUAUUGGUCAAUGGAUGCAAGUCUGAACCAGCCAUGCCGCGUGCAGGAAGAAGGCCUUCUGGGUUGUAAAGCUCUUUCGCAAGGG